rnacentral:rRNA from 1 species
GCAGCCGCGGUAAUUCCAGCUCCAAUAGCGUAUAUUAAAGUUGUUGCAGUUAAAAAGCUCGUAGUUGAAUUUCGGGAUUAGCAGGUCGGUCGUGCCACUGGUACGUACUGGUCUUGCUGAUUCCUCCCUCUUGACGAGCCGUAAUGCCAUUAAUUUGGUGUUGCGGGGAAUCAGGACUGUUACUUUGAAAAAAUUAGAGUGUUUAAAGCAGGCAUGCGCUUGAAUACAUUAGCAUGGAAUAAUGAAAUAGGACGUUCGAUCUUAUUUUGUUGGUUUCUAGGAUUGACGUAAUGAUUAAUAGGGAUAGUUGGGGGCAUUAGUAUUCAAUUGUCAGAGGUGAAAUUCUUGGAUUUAUUGAAGACUAACUACUGCGAAAGCAUUUGCCAAGGAUGUUUUCAUUAAUCAAGAACGAAAGUUAGGGGAUCGAAGACGAUCAGAUACCGUCGUAGUCUUAACCAUAAACUAUGCCGACUAGGGAUCGGAUGAUGUUAAUUUUUUAAUGACUCAUUCGGCGCCUUACGGG